rnacentral:rRNA from 1 species
AAAGGUAGCAUAAUCAUUAGGGGUUUAAUUGGAACCUAGUAUGAAGGGUCGGACAAAGGAAAAGCUGUCUUUAUAAGUUUGGUUGAAGUUUACUUUUAAGUGAAAAGGCUUGAAUAAAUCAAAGGGACGAUAAGACCCUAUAAAGCUUUAUAGAUAAUCUAGAUUUAGCUAAUCUAAAAAUAAAAGCAAGAUAAAGUUAUUCUAUUUCGUUGGGGUGAUGUGAGUAUAAUUAUUGUUAACUGCUUAGAUUUUAUACUUAUGAAAAAGAAUUGAAAAUAAAUGAUCCUAUUUAAAGAUUAAAAGACUAAGUUACUUUAGGGAUAACAGCGUUAUUUCUUUUGAGAGUUCAUAUCGAAAAAGAAGAUUGCGACCUCGAUGUUGAAUUAAAAUAUCUAUAUAAUGCAGCCGUUAUAAAAGAGGGUCUGUUCGACCUUUGAAUU